rnacentral:lncRNA from 1 species
GGCUUGUCAGUUUAUACUCCUUUGUAAUUAAGAACAAAAGUUCCAAAAAGCUAUUUAAAAAUUAGCAUGGUCUUCACGAAAGACUUUUGUGAAGUGUCUGAAAACCUUCCCCCACCGUUGGAGGACUGAGAGCCUGAGUGUGGCAAUGUGCGCGAGCCUCAGAAGCCGUUCCUGGCCCACCUGCUAACAGCAGCUGUCGCCUUCUGAGCAGCUCCUCCUGGGACUUCCCCUCAUUCUCAGCCUGGAUUCCCACUCUUACCUCAACAGACACGGGCUGUGGGGCGGUCACUGCUCAAGUCACACAGAGAGGAGCCAGAACUCAGCCCAGCAGGCUGCAUCCAGGGCCCCACGUGUCCUCAUUGCCAGCUCUCCUCCUCAGGCCUCCACUGCACUCCUCCAUCCUCUUUUUGGUCCCCCUAAAUAUUCCAGCUUCCUUCCCACUUCUGAGCUUUUGUGCUCACUGUGCCCUCCAUGUGGAAUGCCCUUUCUCCAGCCCUCUGUAUGGCUGACUUCUUCAGGUCACAGCCCAAUGUCACCUCCUCUGUCUUGUCCAGUGCCCUCAACAGAGCCUGGUACAUAGUAGGUACUGAAAAAAUAUUUGAUUCUUGACUCCAUCGAGCAUUGCAUAACACUGCAUGUUAACCACUGGCUGGGCACAGUGGCUUACACCUGUAAUCCCAGCACUUUGGGAAGCCAAGGCAGGCAGAUGGCUUGAGCUCAGGGGUUCAAGAACAGCCUAGGCAACAUAGCGAGACCUAUCUCGCUAUUUAAAAAUUUUAAAAUUAGCUGAGUGUGGUGGUGCAUGCCUAUAGUCUGAGCUACUUGCGAGGCUGAGGUGCGAAGAUUGCUUGAGCCCAGGAGGUGGAGGUUGCAGUGAGCCAAGAUCAUGCCACUGCAUUCCAGACUGGAUGACAGAGCAAGGCCCUAUCUCAAAAACAGAAGAAAAAAAAAAGAACAUGAGCUCCUGAGGUGGUGGCCUGGGUUACAACCCUGGCCUGUCCAUUUCAGUAGCUGGGUGACUCCAUGCCUUUUUAAACCUCAGUUUCCUGAAAUGUAAAGUGGAGAUAAUCCUACUCCCUACCUUGUAGUCAUUGCAAGGAUUACAGGAGGCUGGCACUUAAUCAGGGGCCAGUACAAGUACUGUUGUUAGAGUUCAGGGAGCAAUCCAUUUGGAUUUCCUCACCCGCUGCGGCCUGUGGAGGAGUCUGCGAUGCAGUGACUGGAGGGAGAGUGAGCCUCUAGGCUAGGGGUUCACCUAAGCCAUUGCUUAGGAUUUUUUUUUUUUUUUUGAGACAAGAGUCUCACUCUAUCGCCCAAGCUGGAGUGCAGUGGUACGAUCUCGGCUCACUGCAACCUCUGCCUCCCUGGUUCAAGUGAUUCUCCUACCUCAGCCUCCCGAGUAGCUGGGAUUACAGGUGCGCACCACCAUGCCCAGCUAAUUUUUGUAUUUUUAGUAGAGACGGGGUUUCACCAUGUUGGCCAGUCUGGUCUCAAGUUCCUGACCUCAGGUGAUCCACCUGCCUCAGCCUCCCAAAGUGCUGGGAUUACAGCCAUGCGCCACCGCACCCAGCCAGGAUUUUUAAAAAGGAAGGAAGAGUUGUACUUGACAGGUACCAAGGAAUUGC